UGAGGAAUAUUGGUCAAUGGACGAGAGUCUGAACCAGCCAAGUAGCGUGCAGGAUGACGGCCCUAUGGGUUGUAAACUGCUUUUGUAUGGGGAUAAAGUCAAUCACGUGUGAUUGUUUGCAGGUACCAUACGAAUAAGGACCGGCUAAUUCCGUGCCAGCAGCCGCGGUAAUACGGAAGGUCCGGGCGUUAUCCGGAUUUAUUGGGUUUAAAGGGAGCGUAGGCCGGAGAUUAAGUGUGUUGUGAAAUGUAGACGCUCAACGUCUGACUUGCAGCGCAUACUGGUUUCCUUGAGUACGCACAACGUUGGCGGAAUUCGUCGUGUAGCGGUGAAAUGCUUAGAUAUGACGAAGAACUCCGAUUGCGAAGGCAGCUGACGGGAGCGCAACUGACGCUUAAGCUCGAAGGUGCGGGUAUCGAACAGGAUUAGAUACCCUGGUAGUCCGCACAGUAAACGAUGGAUGCUCGCUGUUGGUACCUGGUAUCAGCGGCUAAGCGAAAGCAUUAAGCAUCCCACCUGGGGAGUACGCCGACGGU
rnacentral:rRNA from 1 species